GUGCUCGUUUUGGCAGCACAUAUACUAAAAUUGGAACGAUACAGAGAAGAUUAGCAUGGCUCCUGCGCAAGGAUGACACGCAAAUUCAUGAAGCGUUCCAUAUUUUU